rnacentral:rRNA from 1 species
CCUGGCUCAGGAUGAACGCUGGCGGCGUGCCUAAUACAUGCAAGUCGAACGAAGUGAAGAGGAGCUUGCUCCUUGGAACUUAGUGGCGAACGGGUGAGUAAUACAUAAGCAACCUGCCUCGAUGCCUGGGAUAACAGAGGGAAACUUCUGCUAAUACCGGAUACGUUAAUCUAAGACAUCUUAGAUUAAUUAAAGAUGGGAUACAUCACAACGAGAUGGGCUUAUGGCGCAUUAGUUAGUUGGUAAGGUAACGGCUUACCAAGACGAUGAUGCGUAGCCGACCUGAGAGGGUGACCGGCCACACUGGGACUGAGACACGGCCCAGACUCCUACGGGAGGCAGCAGUAGGGAAUUUUCGGCAAUGGGGGAAACCCUGACCGAGCAACGCCGCGUGAGUGAAGACGGCCUUCGGGUUGUAAAGCUCUGUUGUAAGGGAAGAACGAUAGGAAGAGGGAAUGCUUCUUAUAUGACGGUACCUUACCAGAAAGCCACGGCUAACUACGUGCCAGCAGCCGCGGUAAUACGUAGGUGGCAAGCGUUAUCCGGAAUUAUUGGGCGUAAAGGGAGCGCAGGCGGUUUAUCAAGUUUAUGGUUAAAGUUCGGGGCUUAACCCCGUGAUGCCAUAGAAACUGGUAGACUAGAGUGCAGGAGAGGUUAGUGGAAUUCCAUGUGUAGCGGUAAAAUGCGUAGAUAUAUGGAGGAACACCAGUGGCGAAGGCGGCUAACUGGCCUGUAACUGACGCUGAGGCUCGAAAGCGUGGGGAGCAAAUAGGAUUAGAUACCCUAGUAGUCCACGCCGUAAACGAUGGAUACUAAGUGUUGGAGAAAUUCAGUGCUGUAGUUAACGCAAUAAGUAUCCCGCCUGGGGAGUAUGCGCGCAAGCGUAAAACUCAAAGGAAUUGACGGGGGCCCGCACAAGCGGUGGAGUAUGUGGUUUAAUUCGAAGCAACGCGAAGAACCUUACCAGGUCUUGACAUACCGCGCAAAAGCACAGAGAUGUGUAAUAGUUAUGGCGGAUACAGGUGGUGCAUGGUUGUCGUCAGCUCGUGUCGUGAGAUGUUGGGUUAAGUCCCGCAACGAGCGCAACCCUUGUCUUUAGUUACCAGCAUUAAGUUGGGGACUCUAAAGAGACUGCCGGUGAUAAACCGGAGGAAGGUGGGGAUGACGUCAAAUCAUCAUGCCCCUUAUGAUCUGGGCUACACACGUACUACAAUGGCGUAUACAGAGGGCAGCGAAGCAGCGAUGCGGAGCGAAUCUCAGAAAGUACGUCUCAGUUCGGAUUGGAGUCUGCAACUCGACUCCAUGAAGUCGGAAUCGCUAGUAAUCGCGGAUCAGAAUGCCGCGGUGAAUACGUUCUCGGGCCUUGUACACACCGCCCGUCAAACCAUGAGAGUUGGUAAUACCCGAAGCCGGUGGCCUAACCUAGUUUACUAGGAGGGAGCCGUCGAAGGUAGGAUCGAUGAUUGGGGUUAAGUCGUAACAAGGUAUCCCUACCGGAAGGUGGGGAUGGAUCACCUCCUUUCUAAGGAGUAAUUAGAAAGACGUGAAGUUGACACCUAAAGUUUCCUGUUUAGUUUUGAGAGUCCGUUGGAAUCUCAAGAAAAAUGAUCUUUGAAAACUGAAUAACAGAAAAGAAAAAGAGAUAGACAAAGAAAUAAAUGUUAUCAACAUGAUCUUUUCGAAUAGUUGUAUAAAACUAGAUUUACAUCAAGUUAAACAAAAACAGUAACUUAAGCAAUUAAGUAAGCAAUCAAAGCAAACACACAGCUUAUCAAGCGAUAAGCGUUAAAAAAAACCUGAUUUUAAGAAUUAGGGCGCGAAAUUAC